AUUGAACGCUGGCGGCAGGCCUAACACAUGCAAGUCGAGCGGAUGAAGGGAGCUUGCUCCUGGAUUCAGCGGCGGACGGGUGAGUAAUGCCUAGGAAUCUGCCUGGUAGUGGGGGAUAACGUCCGGAAACGGGCGCUAAUACCGCAUACGUCCCGAGGGAGAAAGUGGGGGAUCUUCGGACCUCACGCUAUCAGAUGAGCCUAGGUCGGAUUAGCUAGUUGGUGGGGUAAAGGCCUACCAAGGCGACGAUCCGUAACUGGUCUGAGAGGAUGAUCAGUCACACUGGAACUGAGACACGGUCCAGACUCCUACGGGAGGCAGCAGUGGGGAAUAUUGGACAAUGGGCGAAAGCCUGAUCCAGCCAUGCCGCGUGUGUGAAGAAGGUCUUCGGAUUGUAAAGCACUUUAAGUUGGGAGGAAGGGCAGUAAGUUAAUACCUUGCUGUCUUGACGUUACCAACAGAAUAAGCACCGGCUAACUUCGUG
rnacentral:rRNA from 1 species